AGAGUUUGAUCCUGGCUCAGGAUGAACGCUGGCGGUAUGCUUAACACAUGCAAGUCGAACGGUGUCCUUCGGGGCACAGUGGCGGACGGCUGAGUAACACGUGGGUGACCUGCCCUCGAGCGGGGGAUAACUGCCCGAAAGGGUGGCUAAUACCGCAGACAUCGGUGAUUCGGUUCGCCGAUUGAACUCGUGAGGGGUUCGAGGAGGGGCCCGCGGCCGAUUAGCUAGCUGGUGGGGUGACGGCCUACCAGGGCUACGAUCGGUAGCUGGUCUGAGAGGAUGAUCAGCCAGACUGGGACUGCGAACGGCCCAGACUCCUACGGGAGGCAGCAGUGGGGAAUAUUGGACAAUGGGCGCAAGCCUGAUCCAGCCAUGCCGCGUGAGUGAUGAAGGCCCUCGGGUCGUAAAGCUCUGUGGAGAGGGAAGAAUCCGUUCAGCAUCAGAUCCUGAACGUUGACGGUACCUCUUUAGCAAGCACCGGCUAACUCCGUGCCAGCAGCCGCGGUAAUAC
rnacentral:rRNA from 1 species